CUACGGGCCGCUGCAGUGGGGAAUAUUGCACAAUGGGCGCAAGCCUGAUGCAGCCAUGCCGCGUGUAUGAAGAAGGCCUUCGGGUUGUAAAGUACUUUCAGCGGGGAGGAAGGGAGUAAAGUUAAUACCUUUGCUCAUUGACGUUACCCGCAGAAGAAGCACCGGCUAACUCCGUGCCAGCAGCCGCGGUAAUACGGAGGGUGCAAGCGUUAAUCGGAAUUACUGGGCGUAAAGCGCACGCAGGCGGUUUGUUAAGUCGGAUGUGAAAUCCCCGGGCUCAACCUGGGAACUGCAUCUGAUACUGGCAAGCUUGAGUCUCGGAGAGGGGGGUAGAAUUCCAGGUGUAGCGGUGAAAUGCGUAGAGAUCUGGAGGAAUACCGGUGGCGAAGGCGGCCCCCUGGACGAAGACUGACGCUCAGGUGCGAAAGCGUGGGGAGCAAACAGGAUUAGAUACCCCUGUAGUC
rnacentral:rRNA from 1 species